AUUGAACGCUGGCGGCAGGCCUAACACAUGCAAGUCGAGCGGAUUAAGGGAGCUUGCUCCUGGAUUCAUCGGCGGACGGGUGAGUAAUGCCUAUGAAUCUGCCUGCUAUUGGGGUAUAACGUCCUGAAACGGGCGCUAAUACCACAUACGUCCUGUGGGAGCAAGUUGGGGUUCUUCUAACCUCACGCUAUCAGAUGAGCCUAGGUCGGAUUCGCUAGUUGGUGGGGUAAAGGCGUACCAAGGCGACGAGCCGUAACUGGUCUGAGAGGCGGAUCGGUAAACAUGGAACGGAGGAACGGUCAAGACUCCUACGGGAGGCAGAAGUGGGGAAUAUUGGAAAAGGGGGGAAAGCCGGAUGAAGACAGGCGGGGGGUGUGAAGAAGGUCUUCGGAUUGAAAAGCACGUUAAGUUGGGAGGAAGGGCAGUAAGUUAAUACCUUGCUGUUUUGACGUUACCAACAGAAUAAGCACCGGCUAACUUCGUG
rnacentral:rRNA from 1 species